CCUUGAAGCCACUUUGCGUUUUUGCCACUUUUGCACAACUCUCACAAGGUCGCCCAAUGAAGCUAAGCAGGGCUGCGCCUAGUAAGUACUUGGAUUGGAGACCACAUGGGAUAGCUAGGUUGCUGCUAGAA
rnacentral:rRNA from 1 species